rnacentral:lncRNA from 1 species
UGCUUCCAUUAACCCCCUUCGCAUUUCUAGCCUUGUCUUAUAUUCGCUGUGGGAUAGGAGGGAAAUUGACGGUGUCACCUUUCUGGAAACCCACAAAUGGCUUGUCUGCAUCUGUCUUUUGAAUAUUGGGAACAUAUUGCUUGUUGCCUUCAGCCUUAAGUCUUGUUAAACAAAAUGCAGGAGACCAUUGUUUUGGACAAGGAUCCUGCAUUAAGACCCUACAGAACAGACUACAAAUACAAAUGGAGUCACUCAUGUGCUAAAGUUCCACAUCACCAACUGAAACUAAAGUUAUAUGAUCUUCUGAGCAAUCAAGAGAGAUAAUAGCUAAUUUCCCCCAAACAAACAAGUUUCUGUUGGCAUAAUCAUGAAGUUUCCUCUGCUUUAAUCCCUACCCCCCCAAAAAAGAAAAAAACAACUAACCACCUGUAGUAACCUAAUAUUAACCAACCAAUUGUCUGUCUUCUGUUCUGUUUUCCUGUCCUGUUUCAGAAGGAAAGGAACUUUAAAUCAUCUAUCUACUUUUUGUUCUUUAUUUCUGCUUUCUCUAGUCCUUUUCUGAAUACAAAGUCAACCUUUUCGGUUUGGCCCCACAGAACACUUCUCCUAAGAGGGUUGUCUGAUUCCAGAAUCACAAGUGAAGCUAAUUAAGACCUGGAAACUAAAUUUGUUGGAAUUUUGUAUUUUGGCAGCUUUUAAACCAGAACUCCCAGCACUCAGGGAGGUCACGUCUCACCCACUGGCUGUGUGUGCUUCUCUCCGGCUCCAGGCUCUGAGAUCUCUGGGAGCAGAAUCUGUUUCUCAUCCAGCCGGAGAUGAUUAUAAAGAAAUUCUCUGCUCCUGGAAGCAGCCUAUAUGUCUAUCAACAGAUGGAAGGAUAAAGAAAAUGUGGUAUUUAUAUAAGAUGGAAUACUAUUCUGCCAGAAAAAAGGAUAAACUUGUCAUUUGUAGGAAAAUGAAUGCACCUUGAGACCAUAAUGUUAAAUAAAUCAGACACACAGCUUGAAUAUCUCAUGAUUUCUCUUAUAUGAGAAACCCAAAGUAUAAAUAAUUUAAAGAGCAAAAUAAAAGAUAGGCAAUAGGACACCGAUAUCUUAGUUACUUUUCUCUCAUUCCUGAGACAAAAUAUCCAACACCCAAAGUUAAAGGAGGAAAGGUUUACUUAGCUCACAGUUUGUAGAGGUUUCAGUCCAUAAUCGGUUGGCCCCAAAGCAGGGUGGUAUCACAGAGGAGAAACAGUCUGUGGCAGGCAGAAGGGAGCAAAGCAACAAGGGACGACCACAGCUCUUUCUAUCCCUUACAUUGUAUCCAGGCUACUCAGGGCGGCAGCACUCCCACCCUUAAUCCUAGUGCCCUUGAUCCUGGCAUUGCACCAUGAGUCAAUCCCAGCCUCACACACUCUGGGUCCGGCCACCUCUGGAAAAGCCUCACCUGUGACUGCAUGAGGCUUCAGCGGACAUCUAGACAUAAGCUAUAGCAACAGGAAAU